rnacentral:rRNA from 1 species
AUGAACGCUGGCGGCGUGCCUAAUACAUGCAAGUCGAGCGAACAGACGAGGAGCUUGCUCCUCUGACGUUAGCGGCGGACGGGUGAGUAACACGUGGAUAACCUACCUAUAAGACUGGGAUAACUUCGGGAAACCGGAGCUAAUACCGGAUAAUAUAUUGAACCGCAUGGUUCAAUAGUGAAAGACGGUUUUGCUGUCACUUAUAGAUGGAUCCGCGCCGCAUUAGCUAAUUGGUAAGGUAACGGCUUACCAAGGCAACGAUGCGUAGCCGACCUGAGAGGGUGAUCGGCCACACUGGAACUGAGACACGGUCCAGACUCCUACGGGAGGCAGCAGUAGGGAAUCUUCCGCAAUGGGCGAAAGCCUGACGGAGCAACGCCGCGUGAGUGAUGAAGGUCUUCGGAUCGUAAAACUCUGUUAUUAGGGAAGAACAAAUGUGUAAGUAACUAUGCACGUCUUGACGGUACCUAAUCAGAAAGCCACGGCUAACUACGUG